AAACACGCGAUGAUAAGAAGAGUAAGUCAGUUUCGAUUGGAUCAGAGAGCUCGGAUUGGUGAGAAAGAGCACAGCCGUUUGACUGAAGAUGGCCUUGGAGCGUUUGGACGUGAGCAAAAGCAAGCGUGCAGCGGGAUUGCCCGUUACAGCAAAGCAGUUGAUAAACUGAUAAGGUUGGCAGCUUGUGCCAAUGAAUUAAAGGUGGUACCACGAACAUGGUUGUUUCGUCCUUUCU
rfam:Enterococcus casseliflavus EC20, complete genome.